GGCCCUAUCGUCUAUCGGCUAGGACGGAGCCUUCUCAAGGCUUAAAGCAGGGUUCGAUUCCCUGUAGGGUCACCA
rnacentral:tRNA from 1 species